rnacentral:tRNA from 1 species
GAUAUUGCUCAGCAGUAGAGCACAUGUCUAAGAAGCACACAGCCCUGGGUUCAAGUCCCAGCAUC